UACAGAGGUCCCAAGCGUUGUUCGGAUUCAUUGGGCGUAAAGGGUGCGUAGGUGGCUCGCUAAGUCAGGCGUGAAAUUUCGGAGCUUAACUCCGAAACUGCAUUUGAUACUGGCGUGCUUGAGGACUGGAGAGGAGACUGGAAUUUACGGUGUAGCAGUGAAAUGCGUAGAGAUCGUAAGGAAGACCAGUGGCGAAGGCGGGUCUCUGGACAGUUCCUGACACUGAGGCACGAAGGCCAGGGGAGCAAACGGG
rnacentral:rRNA from 1 species